GUGAGGAUUGGGUAAUCUGCAUCCUGAGGUUUAGAUUGGCAUAAAUGAUUUUGGAUAAUCUAGCCCUUGGGAUGCAGAUUAUCUCGUCCUCAU
rnacentral:pre_miRNA from 1 species